AACGAACGCUGGCGGCAUGCCUAACACAUGCAAGUCGAACGAGACCUUCGGGUCUAGUGGCGCACGGGUGCGUAACACGUGGGAAUCUGCCCUUUGCUUCGGAAUAACAGUUAGAAAUGACUGCUAAUACCGGAUGAUGUCGAAAGACCAAAGAUUUAUCGGCAAAGGAUGAGCCCGCGUAGGAUUAGGUAGUUGGUGGGGUAAAGGCCUACCAAGCCGACGAUCCUUAGCUGGACUGAGAGGAUGAUCAGCCACACUGGGACUGAGACACGGCCCAGACUCCUACGGGAGGCAGCAGUGGGGAAUAUUGGACAAUGGGCGAAAGCCUGAUCCAGCAAUGCCGCGUGAGUGAUGAAGGCCUUAGGGUUGUAAAGCUCUUUUACCAGGGAUGAUAAUGACAGUACCUGGAGAAUAAGCUCCGGCUAACUCCGUG
rnacentral:rRNA from 1 species